rnacentral:tRNA from 1 species
GAGGGUAUAGCACAGUGGUAGAAUGCAUGCUUAGCAUGCACAAGGUCCUGGGUUCAAUCCCCAGUACCUCUA